rnacentral:rRNA from 1 species
GACGAACGCUGGCGGUGUGCUUAACACAUGCAAGUCGAACGGAAAGGCCCUGGUUGCAGGGUACUCGAGUGGCGAACGGGUGAGUAACAGGUGGGUGAUCUGCACAGCAACUCGGGAUAAGCUUGGGAAACUGGGUCGACUACCGGAUAGGAGCCAACUUCAGUGAGGUGGGUGGAAAGUUUUUUCGGUGUAGGAUGAGGUAGCGGCCUAUCAGGUUGGUGGUGGGGUAAUGGCCUACCAAGGCGGCGACGGGUAGCCGGCCUGAGAGGGUGUACGGCCACAUUGGGACUGAGUUACGGCCCAGACUCCUACGGGAGGCAGCAGUGAGGAAUAUAGCACACUGGGCGCAAGCCUGAUGCAGCGACGCCUCGUGGGGGAUGAAGGCCUUCUGGUUGUAAACUCCUUUCGCUAGGGACGAAGCUUUUUUGUGACGGUACCUAGAUAAGAAGCACCGGCUAACUACGUG